AGAGUUUGAUUCUGGCUCAGAACGAACGCUGGCAGCGUGGAUUAGGCAUGCAAGUCGGACGAGAAUCCGGGAGUUCAAGUUUUCGGACAAGAUCUCCCGGAGGAGAGUGGCGGAAGGGUGAGUAACGCGUGGGUAACCUGCCUCUGAAUUGGGGACAACUCCGCGAAAGCGGGGCUAAUACCGAAUGUGGUCGAGUGUCGCAUGGGACAACGAUUAAAGAUAGGGAUCCUUCGGGACCUGUCGUUCAGAGAGGGGCCCGCGUGCCAUCAGCUUGUUGGUGGGGUAAUGGCCCACCAAGGCUUACGGCUAGGUGGUCUGAGAGGACGAUCACCCACACUGGGACUGAGACACUGCCCAGACUCCUACGGGAGGCUGCAGUCGAGGAUCAUUGUCAAUGCGCGAAAGCGUGAACAUGCGACGCUGCGUGGAGGAUGACAGCCUUCGGGUUGUAAACUCCUGUCAUUCGGGAAAAAUGGUCCUGUCCCUAAUAUGGGCGGGAUUUGAUGGUACCGGAAGAGGAAGCCACGGCUAACUCUGUGCCAGCAGCCGCGGUAAUACAGAGGUGGCGAGCGUUGUUCGGAUUUACUGGGCGUAAAGGGUGCGUAGGUGGCUUUGUGUGUUGGAUGUGAAAUCCCACGGCUCAACUGUGGAAUUGCAUUCGAAACUGCAGGGCUAGAGUGCAGGAGGGGAGAGCGGAAUUCUAGGUGUAGCGGUGAAAUGCGUUGAUAUCUAGAAGAACACCGGUGGCGAAGGCGGCUCUCUGGAAUGUUACUGACACUGAGGCACGAAAGCUGGGGGAGCAAACAGGAUUAGAUACCCUGGUAGUCCCAGCCGUAAACGGUGCACACUUGGUGUAGGGGGUAUUGACCCCCCCUGUGCCGGAGCUAACGCGUUAAGUGUGCCGCCUGGGGAGUACGGCCGCAAGGCUAAAACUCAAAGAAAUUGACGGGGGCCCGCACAAGCGGAGGAGCAUGUGGCUUAAUUCGAUGCAACGCGAAGAACCUUACCAGGGCUUGACAUGCAGCUGCUUCCUCCCUGAAAGGGGAGGGUCCUUCGAGGGUGCUGCACAGGUGCUGCAUGGCUGUCGUCAGUUCGUGCCGGGAGGUGUUGGGUUAAGUCCCGCAACGAACGCAACCCUUGUGUUUAGUUGCCACCGGAGGUGAUGAGCCUUCGAGCACUCUAGACAGACUGCCCGUACAAGCGGGAGGAAGGUGGGGAUGACGUCAAGUCAGUAUGGCCCUUACGCCCUGGGCUGCACACGUGCUACAAUGGCUGGUACAGAAGGAUGCAAACCGCGAGGUGGAGCGAAUCCCGAAAGCCAGCCCCAGUUCGGAUUGGAGUCUGCAACUCGACUCCAUGAAGUUGGAUUCGCUAGUAACGGCGUAUCAGCUACGACGCCGUGAAUACGUUCCCGGGCCUUGUACACACCGCCCGUCACAUCAUGAAAGCCGUCUGGACCCGAAGUCGCUGAGCUAACCCGCAAGGGAGGCAGGUGCCGAAGGUCUGGGUGGUG
rnacentral:rRNA from 1 species